AGAGUUUGAUCCUGGCUCAGAGCGAACGCUGGCGGCAGGCUUAACACAUGCAAGUCGAGCGGGCGUAGCAAUACGUCAGCGGCAGACGGGUGAGUAACGCGUGGGAACGUACCUUUUGGUUCGGAACAACACAGGGAAACUUGUGCUAAUACCGGAUAAGCCCUUACGGGGAAAGAUUUAUCGCCGAAAGAUCGGCCCGCGUCUGAUUAGCUAGUUGGUGAGGUAACGGCUCACCAAGGCGACGAUCAGUAGCUGGUCUGAGAGGAUGAUCAGCCACAUUGGGACUGAGACACGGCCCAAACUCCUACGGGAGGCAGCAGUGGGGAAUAUUGGACAAUGGGCGCAAGCCUGAUCCAGCCAUGCCGCGUGAGUGAUGAAGGCCCUAGGGUUGUAAAGCUCUUUUGUGCGGGAAGAUAAUGACGGUACCGCAAGAAUAAGCCCCGGCUAACUUCGUGCCAGCAGCCGCGGUAAUACGAAGGGGGCUAGCGUUGCUCGGAAUCACUGGGCGUAAAGGGUGCGUAGGCGGGUCUUUAAGUCAGGGGUGAAAUCCUGGAGCUCAACUCCAGAACUGCCUUUGAUACUGAAGAUCUUGAGUUCGGGAGAGGUGAGUGGAACUGCGAGUGUAGAGGUGAAAUUCGUAGAUAUUCGCAAGAACACCAGUGGCGAAGGCGGCUCACUGGCCCGAUACUGACGCUGAGGCACGAAAGCGUGGGGA
rnacentral:rRNA from 1 species